rnacentral:rRNA from 1 species
GACGAACGCUGGCGGCGUGCUUAACACAUGCAAGUCGAACGGAAAGGCCCUGCUUUUGUGGGGUGCUCGAGUGGCGAACGGGUGAGUAACACGUGAGUAACCUGCCCUUGACUUUGGGAUAACUUCAGGAAACUGGGGCUAAUACCGGAUAGGAGCUCCUGCUGCAUGGUGGGGGUUGGAAAGUUUCGGCGGUUGGGGAUGGACUCGCGGCUUAUCAGCUUGUUGGUGGGGUAGUGGCUUACCAAGGCUUUGACGGGUAGCCGGCCUGGGAGGGUGACCGGCCACAUUGGGACUGAGAUACGGCCCAGACUCCUACGGGAGGCAACAGUGGGGAAUAUUGCACAAUGGGCGGAAGCCUGAUGCAGCAACGCCGCGUGCGGGAUGACGGCCUUCGGGUUGUAAACCGCUUUCGCCUGUGACGAAGCGUGAGUGACGGUAAUGGGUAAAGAAGCACCGGCUAACUACGUG